GCAGACCCUGCCCAGGGCACAGCCCAUGCAGGCCUCGAGUGUGAAUGGCAGGUUCAUCACUGCUUACACCCACCAGAAAUCUUUCAAUAGAGACAUUCCUUCAGGUCUGAAAACCUGGCUGAGGGUGCCUUUUCAAAGACUGACCACUGAACCAGGAUGCAGUGAAGCACUAU
rnacentral:lncRNA from 12 species